GACGAACGCUGGCGGCGUGCCUAAUACAUGUAAGUUGAGCGCUGAAGGUUGGUACUUGUACCAACUGGAUGAGCAGCGAACGGGUGAGUAACGCGUGGGGAAUCUGCCUUUGAGCGGGGGACAACAUUUGGAAACGAAUGCUAAUACCGCAUAAAAACUUUAAACACAAGUUUUAAGUUUGAAAGAUGCAAUUGCAUCACUCAAAGAUGAUCCCGCGUUGUAUUAGCUAGUUGGUGAGGUAAAGGCUCACCAAGGCGAUGAUACAUAGCCGACCUGAGAGGGUGAUCGGCCACAUUGGGACUGAGACACGGCCCAAACUCCUACGGGAGGCAGCGGUAGGGAAUCUUCGGCAAUGGACGAAAGUCUGACCGAGCAACGCCGCGUGAGUGAAGAAGGUUUUCGGAUCGUAAAACUCUGUUGGUAGAGAAGAACGUUGGUGAGAGUGGAAAGCUCAUCAAGUGACGGUAACUACCCAGAAAGGGACGGCUAACUACGUG
rnacentral:rRNA from 1 species